GACGAACGCUGGCGGCGUGCCUAAUACAUGCAAGUCGAACGCAUUUUCUUUCACCGUAGUUUGCUACACCGAAAGAAACUGGGUGGCGAACGGGUGAGUAACACGUGUGUAACCUGCCCAUCAGCGGGGGAAAACACUUGGAAACAGGUGCUAAUACCCCAUAAUUCCAUUUACCGCAGGGAGUUUGGGUGAAAGGGGCUUUUGCUUCCCUUAUGGAUGUACCGGCGGUGCAUUAGCCAGUUGGGGGGGUAACGGCCUACCAAGGCUGCGAGGCGUAGCCGGACGGAGAGGGUGAUCGGCCAGCCUGGGACUGAGACCGGGCACAGACUCCUACGGGAGGGAGCAGUAGGGAAUCUUCGGCAAUGGACGGAAGUCUGAGCGAGCAACGCCGAGUGAGUGAAGAAGGUUGUCGGAUCGUAAAACUCGGUUGUUAGAGAAGAAAAAGGAUGAGAGUGGAACGUUCAUCCCUUGACGGUAUCUAAUCAGAAAGCCAUGGCUAACUACGUG
rnacentral:rRNA from 1 species